GGACUACACGGGUUUCUAAUCCUGUUUGCUCCCCACGCUUUCGCGCCUCAGCGUCAGAUACGGUCCAGAUGGCCGCCUUCGCCACCGGUGUUCUUCCCAAUAUCUACGAAUUUCACCUCUACACUGGGAAUUCCACCAUCCUCUCCCGUCCUCGAGCCGACCAGUCUCGAGUGCACAUCCGGGGUUGAGCCCCGGGCUUUCACACCCGACUUGGUUGGCCGCCUACGCGCCCUUUACGCCCAGUAACUCCGAACAACGCUAGCCCCCUUCGUAUUACCGCGGCUGCUGGCAC
rnacentral:rRNA from 1 species